rnacentral:rRNA from 1 species
UACGUAGGGCGCAAGCGUUGUCCGGAAUUAUUGGGCGUAAAGAGCUCGUAGGCGGCUUGUCGCGUCUGUUGUGAAAGCCCGGGGCUUAACCCCGGGUCUGCAGUGGAUACGGGCAGGCUAGAGGCAGGUAGGGGAGAACGGAAUUCCUGGUGUAGCGGUGAAAUGCGCAGAUAUCAGGAGGAACACCGGUGGCGAAGGCGGGUCUCUGGGCCGAUACUGACGCUGAGGAGCGAAAGCGUGGGGAGCGAACAGG